rnacentral:rRNA from 1 species
UGGGGAAUUGUUCGCAAUGGGCGCAAGCCUGACGACGCAACGCCGCGUGGAGGAUGAAGACCUUCGGGUCGUAAACUCCUUUCGAUCGAGACGAACGGUCUCCGGGUGAAUACUCCGGGGAAGUGACGGUACCGAGAGAAGAAGCCCCGGCUAACUCCGUGCCAGCAGCCGCGGUAAUACGGGGGGGGCAAGCGUUGUUCGGAAUUACUGGGCGUAAAGGGCUCGUAGGCGGCCAACUAAGUCAGACGUGAAAUCCCUCGGCUUAACCGGGGAACUGCGUCUGAUACUGGAUGGCUUGAGUUCGGGAGAGGGAUGCGGAAUUCCAGGUGUAGCGGUGAAAUGCGUAGAUAUCUGGAGGAACACCGGUGGCGAAGGCGGCAUCCUGGACCGACACUGACGCUGAUGAGCGAAAGCCAGGGGAGCAAACGGGAUUAGAUACCCCGGUAGUCCUGGCCCUAAACGAUGAAUGCUUGGUGUGGCGGGUAUCGAUCCCUGCCGUGCCGAAGCUAACGCAUUAAGCAUUCCGCCUGGGGAGUACGGUCGCAAGGCUG